rnacentral:rRNA from 1 species
UGAGUAACGCGUAUCCAACCUUCCCCUUAGUAGAGGAUAGCCCGGCGAAGUCGGAUUAAUACUCUAUGUUGUAUUUUGAGGACAUCUGACGAAUACCAAAGAUUUAUCGCUAAGAGAUGGGGAUGCGUCUGAUUAGCUUGUUGGCGGGGUAACGGCCCACCAAGGCGACGAUCAGUAGGGGUUCUGAGAGGAACGGUCCCCCACAUUGGUACUGAGACACGGACCAAACUCCUACGGGAGGCAGCAGUGAGGAAUAUUGGUCAAUGGGCGAGAGCCUGAACCAGCCAAGUAGCGUGCAGGAAGAACCUCGCCCUAGUGGGUUGUAAACUGUCUUUUAUCAGGGAAUAAAGUGCGGCACGUGUGCUGUUUUGUAUGUACCUGAUGAAUAAGGACCGGCUAAUUCCGUGCCAGCCGCAGC